CAAGAUGGAUUGACACACUCAUUUUGUGAAGCAGCAGGGAGGAGAAACCCUCCAUUAUUACAAAAUAGUGACCCCUAGUCACCCAGUCACUGCCAGCCAGCAAGGUGACCAUGGGAGCACGCAAAGCAGAGCAAAACUGGGGGGUUACAGCACCAUGGCUCUGUCCCAAGGUGCCAAAAGUCCCAAAGUCCCCAAAAUCCCGAAAGUCCCAAGCUCCAAACCCUUCCUAACUACACCUUCCCCCAGCCAGGCAGGAGAAAGGGAAGGGAAAACAUCUGGGCAGAUCCACCUCAGUGCUGUGGCUGGAUGGGUGUCUUGGCAGGGCCUCCAGGCAGUUUUCCCUUCUGGAGCCGGUCGUGGCCAUGGGAGGCUGUGAGGCACAAGACCAGGAGAGCCCUGGCUGUGACACCAUGACCUGAAGUUUCAUCCUUCGUCGCCUGCCUGGAUGAUCCAAGACUUCUCCCCUCUCCUUCUGAGGAGGGCAGCUCCCCGUGACGGAGGUAGGAGAACAGGGGAUGAACUGCCAGGAUGAUGGCUCAUUUGGGUAAGGCUAUCAAGGCUCAUUUGCUUCGCCUUGUUGCCUUCAUGAAGGAGCAUGCGAGCUGGAGUACUACUGUGUGGAAAACAAAACUUCAGCUUUCCCCACUCUACGCAUUCCCGUACUCCUCGGUGGGGGAAGCCAAGGAGAUUCCUCACUGCGCAGCUGCCUCCUGUGUGCUGCAAAGCUGAAGGGGAAAAAUGGGUUGCCUUUUCUCUGGGCUACUCCACUGCAAGCUCACAGCCCCUCCACUAAUUUGAAGAAGCCAGAAAAGCAAGAUGAAGAAGGAAAAUUGGUUUCGAUUGCAGAGCUCCAGCCAUGGAAUUCCUCCAGCAGGAAAAGAAGAAACAGCCGGGGUAGCCAGAAGCUUUGUACCCAGUACAGUCAUUUUUCUAGUGGGUAUUCACUUGUACAAUGAAGACCAUUAGGUAAAGUAUCUCAGAAUAGCUCUCAUUUGCUGACUGCAUGGUGAGGAGGAGGUUUCUGAGCAACUGGUACCUCCUACACAGCGAUCGCGGCUGUUCCUGGGAGUAGGACGAGGCUUUUGCUCGUGAUGAUGCCGAGGAGUGCUUCAUGCAGCUCUGCUCCUGUCUGGGUGGCUUUCCUGGUGCUUCCACCACGUCUGGGCACGCAGAAGUCUGGUGUCCAGGCAGCAGGGGCCACACGUGAACAGAAGGACAGGUCUUCUGCCUGCUCCUGGCACAGAGAGGCGCCUGGCUGUCCCUGCGGUGGGGUGGCCACAGAACCACGGUGAGGCAGAAAGUCCCCGCGAGGCAAUGAAGCUUGCUCUUCAGUAAGCAGGUUUCCCUCCGUCCAGUGACCACACACCACCCAGCUG
rnacentral:lncRNA from 1 species